UACAGAGGAUGCAAGCGUUGUCCGGAAUUAUUGGGCGUAAAGGGCGCGUAGGCGGCUAGAUGUGUCAAAGGUGAAAUCCCUCGGCUCAACUGAGGAACUGCCUUUGAAACUGUCUGGCUUGAGGCCGGGAGAGGGUAGCGGAAUUCCCAGUGUAGCGGUGAAAUGCGUAGAUAUUGGGAGGAACACCAGUGGCGAAGGCGGCUACCUGGACCGGUUCUGACGCUGAGGCGCGAAAGCGUGGGUAGCAAACAGG
rnacentral:rRNA from 1 species